rnacentral:rRNA from 1 species
CACGUAGGCGGGCUUUUAAGUCGGAGGUGAAAUCCCAAGGCUCAACCUUGGAACUGCCUUCGAUACUGGAAGUCUUGAGUCCGGAAGAGGUGAGUGGAACUCCGAGUGUAGAGGUGAAAUUCGUAGAUAUUCGGAAGAACACCAGUGGCGAAGGCGGCUCACUGGUCCGGUACUGACGCUGAGGUGCGAAAGCGUGGGGAGCAAACAG